rnacentral:rRNA from 1 species
AGAGUUUGAUCAUGGCUCAGGACGAACGCUGGCGGCGUGCUUAACACAUGCAAGUCGAACGAUGAAAGAGGGAGCUUGCUUCUUCUGGAUUAGUGGCGAACGGGUGAGUAACACGUGAGCAAUCUGCCCUUGACUCUGGGAUAAGCGUUGGAAACGACGUCUAAUACCGGAUACGACCCUCGGAGGCAUCUCCUGGGGGUGGAAAGAAUUUUGGUCAAGGAUGAGCUCGCGGCCUAUCAGCUAGUUGGUGAGGUAAUGGCUCACCAAGGCGACGACGGGUAGCCGGCCUGAGAGGGUGACCGGCCACACUGGGACUGAGACACGGCCCAGACUCCUACGGGAGGCAGCAGUGGGGAAUAUUGCACAAUGGGCGAAAGCCUGAUGCAGCAACGCCGCGUGAGGGAUGACGGCCUUCGGGUUGUAAACCUCUUUUAGUAGGGAAGAAGCGAAAGUGACGGUACCUGCAGAAAAAGCACCGGCUAACUACGUGCCAGCAGCCGCGGUA